AAAAGCGGUCAACCCAGCCACGAUGCGAGCCAAAGGAUUCUUGGCUCCAAGCCUGGUCCUGGCUGUUAGUUUGGAACUCAUGCACCCAGAUGCUAACUCGCCCUCAGAAUGCAGAGGGGAUGAAACACUGACCGGACAAUUCAAUCUGUAUAUGGGAGAUAAACUGGAGGGGAAGACGAAUGGCAGGAGGGUGAAGAGGAAACUGAAUUACUGUGCAAACACCCGCCACUCAAAUCCGGGUGGUUACUGCAGAGUGAAUAACGAUAGGUACUAUUUCGUGUAAGGCAAAGUCCUUUGAAAGGGCUCCUAGAGCGUCAAGGCCUCCACCUGAUGAAUGAAUGAGUCAGGCAGGCCCAGCUCCACUUCACGGAUGGGAAAACUGAGGUACGAGGCCUCGCUGAAAGAUGCGAGGCAGAGCGGAGAACCAGAAGCACCACUUCUCUCAGGCUGAUGCUCUAAUCUCGGCUCCCCCCGCCCCUACAAUGGCGUAGACGGCCUCCGCCGCCCGACUCACACACACCCUCCCCCGGGAACGGCAAGUCUCCUCGGGUUCCAAG
rnacentral:lncRNA from 1 species